CUACGGGGCGCAGCAGUAAGGAAUAUUGGGCAAUGGACGGAAGUCUGACCCAGCCAUCCCGCGUGCAGGAAGAAUGCCCUAUGGGUUGUAAACUGCUUUUGUUUGGGAAGAAAUGUACUUUUUCAAGAGUAUUUGACGGUACCAGACGAAUAAGCACCGGCUAACUCCGUGCCAGCAGCCGCGGUAAUACGGAGGGUGCAAGCGUUAUCCGGAAUCACUGGGUUUAAAGGGUGCGUAGGCGGCCAGAUAAGUCAGAGGUGAAAGUUUCCGGCUCAACCGGGAGAUUGCCUUUGAUACUGUUUGGCUUGAAUCAGAUUGAGGUUGGCGGAAUGUGACAUGUAGCGGUGAAAUGCAUAGAUAUGUCAUAGAACAUCGAUUGCGAAGGCAGCUGGCUGGAUCUGUAUUGACGCUGAGGCACGAAAGCGUGGGGAGCAAACAGGAUUAGAUACCCGAGUAGUC
rnacentral:rRNA from 1 species